rnacentral:rRNA from 1 species
GACGAACGCUGGCGGCGUGCCUAAUACAUGCAAGUUGAGCGCUGAAGGUUGGUACUUGUACCAACUGGAUGAGCAGCGCACGGGUGAGUAACGCGUGGGGAAUCUGCCUUUGAGCGGGGGACAACAUUUGGAAACGAAUGCUAAUACCGCAUAAAAACUUUAAACACAAGUUUUAAGUUUGAAAGAUGCAAUUGCAUCACUCAAAGAUGAUCCCGCGUUGUAUUAGCUAGUUGGUGAGGUAAAGGCUCGCCAAGGCGAUGAUACAUAGCCGACCUGAGAGGGUGAUCGGCCACAGUGGGACUGAGACACGGCCCAAACUCCUGCGGGAGGCAGCAGUAGGGAAUCUUCGGCAAUGGACGAAAGGCUGACCGAGCAACGCCGCGUGAGUGAAGAAGGUUUUCGGAUCGUAAAACUCUGUUGGUAGAGAAGAACGUUGGUGGGAGUGGAAAGCUCAUCAAGUGACGGUAACUACCCAGAAAGGGACGGCUAACUACGUG